GGCAACCUGCUCGGAUCCCCUUCCACACUGGAAGCUUUGUUCUUUUGCUCUUUGCAAUAAAUCUUGCUACUGCUCACUCUUUGGGUCCACACUGCCUUUAAGAGCCAUAACACUCACCGCGAAGGUCUGCAGCUUCACUCCCAAGCCAGCGAGACCACGAACCCACCAGAAGGAAGAAACUCCGAACACAUCUGAACAUCAGAAGGAAAAACUCCAGACACCCUACCUUUAAGAACUGUAACAAUCACUGCGAGGGUCCGUGGCUUCAUUCUUGAAGUCAGUGAGACCAAGAAUCCACCAAUUCUGGACACAUUUUGGUGACCCAGAUGGGACCUUCACCAAUCGCCAAGCGGUGAGACCAUUGCCUAUCGCUGAGCAGUGAGACAAUCACCUAUCGCCAAGCAAAUCGAGGCCUUCGAGCUACAGAUGGUCUUACAAAUGGAACCCCAAAUGAGUUCAACUAACAACUUCUACCGAGGACCCAUGGACCGACCCGCUGGCACUUCCCCUGGCCUAGAGAGUUCCCCUCUGAAGGACACUACAACUGCAGGGUCCCUUCUUCGCCCCUAUCCAGCAGGAAGUAGCAAAAGCAGUCAUCGGCCAAAUUCCCAACAGCAGUUGGGGUGUCCUGUUUAGAGGGGGGAUUGAGAGGUGACAGCGUGCUGGCAGUCCUCACAGCCCUCGCUUGCUCUCGGCGCCACCUCUGCCUGGGCUCCCACUUUGGCGGCACUUGAGGAGCCCUUCAGCCCACCGCUUCACUGUGGGAGCCCCUUUCUGGGCUGGCCAAGGCCGGAGCUGGCUCCCUCAGCUUGCAGGGAGGUGUGGAGGGAGAGGCGCGAGCGGGAACCGGGGCUGCGCAUGGCACUUGCGGGCCAGCUGGAGUUCCAGGUGGGUGUGGGCUUGGCGGGCCCCACACUCGGAGCAGCUGGCUGGCCCUGCUGGGCCCAGGCAAUGAGGGGCUUAGCACCCAGGCCAGCGGCUGCGGAGGGUGUACUGGGUCCCCCAGCAGUGCCAGCCCACCGGCGCUGCACUCGAUUUCUUGCCGGGCCUUAGCUGCCUUCCUGCGGGGCAGGGCUUGGGACCUGCAGCCCGCCAUGCCUGAGCCUCCCACGCCCUCCGUGGGCUCCUGUGUAGCCCGAGCCUCCCCGAUGAGUGCCGCCCCCUGCUCCAUGGCACCCAGUCCCAUUGACCACCCAAGGGCUGAGGAGUGUGGGCACGGCACGGGACUGGCAGGCAGCUCCCCUGCAGCCCCUGUGCGGGAUCCACUGGGUGAAGCCAGCUGGGCUCCUGAGUCUGGUGGGGACGUGGAGAACCUUUAUGUCUAGCUCAGGGAUUGUAAAUACACCAAUCAGCACCCUGUGUCUAGCUCAGGGUUUGUGAAUGCACCAAUCGACACUCUGUAUCUAGCUACUCUGGUGGGGCCUUGGAGAGCCUUUGUGUUGACACUCUGUAUCUAGCUAAUCUGGUGGGGACGUGGAGAACCUUUGUGUCUAGUUCAGGGAUUGUAAAUGCACCAAUCAGCGCCCUGUCAAUACAGACCACUUGGCUCUACCAAUCAGCAGGAUGUGGGUGGGACCAGAUAAGAGAAUAAAAGCAGGCUGCCCGAGCCAGCAGUGGCAACACGCUCGGGUCCCCUUCCACACUGUGGAAGCUUUGUUCUUUUGCUCUUUGCAAUAAAUCUUGCUACUGCUCA